CUUGGCGGCCAUAGCGCGGUGGUCCCACCUGAUCCCAUGCCGAACUCAGAAGUGAAACGCCGUAG
rnacentral:rRNA from 1 species